GCUGGCCGUUCAACUCCAAUAAAUGCCUCCUACUCUGACUUCUCAAUCUCCCGGAAUCUCCUAUCCCAUUCUUGGGCCUCAAUAUCUUGCUCAAUUAUGUCCCUGUCAGUACUAUAGACAAUGCGAUCCUGCCCUAUCACUGUCUUUUGGGCCAAAUCCCGAGCACUCAGAAGCUUCCGCCUUAGUGAAGGAUCAGGCAGCUCAAGUGUUCGAGCAACCUGUUCCCUGGCUUUGUUUCUUUUCUCUAUCUCAGCAUUCCUCUUCCGAACAAGGAACCAGCGGAUCAAAGGAAUAGCAAAGAAAGAACCAGCAUAUAUCUGAAGUAGAGGAAAUAUGCCAGAAACAAAUUUAAUUAAUCCACUUGUUGUAACAGCAAUAUCCUUUAACAUGGCUCCAAGAAUAAUGACUCCAAGCAGGUUAGCCCCAC
rnacentral:misc_RNA from 1 species